rnacentral:miRNA from 1 species
UUGAGCGCAGCGUUGAUGAGC